rnacentral:rRNA from 1 species
CAGCAGCCGCGGUAAUACGAAGGGGGCUAGCGUUGUUCGGAAUUACUGGGCGUAAAGCGCACGUAGGCGGACAUUUAAGUCAGGGGUGAAAUCCCGGGGCUCAACCCCGGAACUGCCUUUGAUACUGGGUGUCUAGAGUAUGGAAGAGGUGAGUGGAAUUCCGAGUGUAGAGGUGAAAUUCGUAGAUAUUCGGAGGAACACCAGUGGCGAAGGCGGCUCACUGGUCCAUUACUGACGCUGAGGUGCGAAAGCGUGGGGAGCAAACAGGAUUAGAUACCCCGGUAGUCCCUGUCUCUUAUAA